rfam:Schistosoma margrebowiei strain Zambia genome assembly, scaffold: SMRZ_contig0000766
AUUCAGUUGAAGAGUCCCAAAUAGAACGAAAUGCGAGUCCUGAAU